rnacentral:tRNA from 1 species
GCGGCUAUAGCUCAGUUGGGAGAGCGUCAGACUGAAGAUCUGAAGGUCCCGCGUUCGAUCCGCGGUGGGCGCA